UGGGGAAUAUUGCACAAUGGGCGCAAGCCUGAUGCAGCCAUGCCGCGUGUAUGAAGAAGGCCUUCGGGUUGUAAAGUACUUUCAGCGGGGAGGAAGGGAGUAAAGUUAAUACCUUUGCUCAUUGACGUUACCCGCAGAAGAAGCACCGGCUAACUCCGUGCCAGCAGCCGCGGUAAUACGGAGGGUGCAAGCGUUAAUCGGAAUUACUGGGCGUAAAGCGCACGCAGGCGGUCUGUUAAGUCAGAUGUGAAAUCCCCGGGCUCAACCUGGGAACUGCAUCUGAUACUGGCAAGCUGGAGUCUCGUAGAGGGGGGUAGAAUUCCAGGUGUAGCGGUGAAAUGCGUAGAGAUCUGGAGGAAUACCGGUGGCGAAGGCGGCCCCCUGGACAAAGACUGACGCUCAGGUGCGAAAGCGUGGGGAGCAAACAGG
rnacentral:rRNA from 1 species